GUUCCUGCAUUGAAGCCCCUCCUGUAGUGAAGCAUCUCCUGCAGUGGAGCAUCUCAUGCAGUGGAGCAUCUCCUGCAGCUGCAGGGAAAGUUCAAGCCUCCACCAUCUCCUCGGGCAGCGUGUCCCAGAUUGCAACCACCCUCUGGAUUUUCAGCAUCUGCAGUUCUUUUCUUUACACGUUGAUUUUGAUGUUGUGACCGGCCAACAACGAAUCAAAGGAGAUCAGAUACGUGGUGUCGUAAUCUACUGGGAUUCAAGUAACUAACUGUGGAAGUCAGAGAACUAGUUGUGACUGUGAGACGUGGUGUUGUGUUGGAAGCAGACAGAUG